rnacentral:rRNA from 1 species
GACGUAGGGUGCGAGCGUUGUUCGGAUUUAUUGGGCGUAAAGAGCUCGUAGGCGGCUCGUCGCGUCGACCGUGAAAACCCGCGGCUUAACUGCGGGCUUGCGGUUGAUACGGGCGGGCUAGAGUUCGGUAGGGGAGACUGGAAUUCCUGGUGUAGCGGUGAAAUGCGCAGAUAUCAGGAAGAACACCCGUGGCUAAGGCGGCUCUCUAGUACGGUACUGACGCUGAGACGCGAAAGCGUGGGGAGCGAACAGG